UACGUAGGGGCAAGCGUUGUCCGGAAUCAUUGGGCGUAAAGCGCGUGUAGGCGGUUCUGUAAGUCUGCUGUGAAAGUCCAGGGCUCAACCCUGGGAUGCCGGUGGAUACUGCAGGGCUAGAGUACGGAAGAGGCGAGUGGAAUUCCCGGUGUAGCGGUGAAAUGCGCAGAUAUCGGGAGGAACACCUAUUGCGAAGGCAGCUCGCUGGGACGUUACUGACGCUGAGACGCGAAAGCGUGGGGAGCAAACAGG
rnacentral:rRNA from 1 species